CUAAUCAUCCGUGUAUUCAGGGGCCCUGCUGUUCAUGGACAUUAUACCCAUGCCAUAGCCGGAACAGAAGACAGCAACCACAAAGGGGUGAGCCACGAAGUCAUGUGGUCUUCAGGAAGACUUUGGAUCUGGCCUCCUCAAAUCCUUGGUUGUAGGGCAAAACUGACUGGUGGGUUGCAGCUUGCUGAAUAAGCUGAUAUUCAGCAGUAAUCAUGCAACAUCAUCAUUAUGUGGAAUAUGAACAUUGCUUUAUAUAGUAUACUGUAUGUAAUUCUCUUUAUUGGCCAUCACCCUAAAUAAUAUGACAUUCCUAUAUGACAAUUAAUAUUAGAAAAAGAGAAACAAAAGAGAAGUAAAAUAAGAAAACAAGAGAAGACGAGAAAAGAAAAACACUGAA